GUGUAGUUAAGCAAUGCAUUAUCAUGUCAGAAUACAGUUGCACAUUUUGGUGAUGAAGGGUGCAAACGUAUGGUCAUUAAUAUUAGGUAUGAGAAAACGUACGUGUUUCUGAGUAUGAGAAAAUACGCUAGGAAAUUAUAAGACACACAAACAUUACCCUUAAGAAUGUACUGCUGCGUACCCUCCCAAUAUAAACAGAAAUUGGAGCGGUAGUCUCAAGGGGACUCAGGUGCU